rnacentral:siRNA from 1 species
ACCGAAAACCCUGGACCUAGAAU